AUAAUAACUUCCCAACUUCCCUGUUUAAAAGCCGACAGCCGUGCAGGUGGUGGUGAUGUACGAACAAUUUUUGAUCGGUAAAUCCAAAAAUUCUUCGUACUCGACUAAAAUACUAAAGUAGUCCGAACUAGGCCUUAUAUUGGGCCUAAUUGUCUAACGGAGUUCAUUGAUCGUAAAGUUCAUACGAUCGGCUACGAUCAACGAUCAAUCGUAACUUUACAUUGGUAUUGUCUAAUUUAGUUCAUUAUAUGAAGACCGGAGGGUGAACGAUGAACUGAAAUUAUUCAUGAAGAUAGUGAAACUAUCGUUAAUAAUAUUAUCAAAUUUAAGUCAAACUCCAUAAUAAUGCAUAUAUUUUAACAAAGUUUUAUGUCUUUUGUUUAAAACAUUAAAGAAGCAUUAAAUUUCACGAAAAAUAUCUACUAUUGAAGAAAAUAGCGUGAGAAAAUGGUACAUGCAACUUAAGUAACAAAACGCAAUUAACGAAUUUAACCAAGGGCUAUUUGGACUAUUUGGUAAUCUCCCUGUUGUCUGUGUAGGCUAGUGUCAAAAUAACGGGGUAUCCUAUUAGUCUGUGGUGAAACAUAGCAUAUUAAUAACCUGUGGAUUGGAAAUUUUAAUUUUACCAAAACAAAACAAAAUUUUUAUUUUUCAGGUUUUAAAGAGAAUUUAGAAAUUGAGCAAAGUUUUACUAAAUUAUAGUGAUCUUAGGAGCAAAGUUUAUUUCGUUUGUGUUAUUGUUAAUCAAAAAUAUAAAAGUAAACAAAAAAGAAAACUACCUCUAUCUAAUUUUGUCGAUGUCCAUUUCUUAUGAAGUUUCUCAUUAAAACAACCCUUAACUCAGGCAAGGCAGGGCUAAGGUGGUUAGCGUAACUACAAGUGGUUAACUUACAGUUAGCCAACUGAAGAACAAUCAACAAUGCCCGAUUAAUAAGUGAUCGCGCUGCUUGUCUACUACAUGUCCCUGCACUAGUUAUAGCAGUAAUUUCUUUGUUGGGAAGUAUUUAGCACAUCCGGGCUGCGCAAAAGGAGAGGACUAAAUUGAUUAUUAUGAACAGAUCAUUAUGAUGAUCCACUGAUAUUGACUCAAAGACAUGAAGAUGAGUGCUUUGACAACAAGACUGACUAGCUGAGCCAGUUUAAGAAAAAUGGUGUGUGUGUGUGUGUGUCUAAUUCCAGGAGCUCUCUAUGUCAGCCAUCCAUCUAUAUUCUUACUCAUUUUUGUUAAUUAUAAAAUAAAUUUGAUUAUUUAGUAUGUAACUUCAUUGUACCUAUCCUGCUAGCUGUUAGAAAGAUAGCAUCUGUAAUAAUUUAUUUACAGUAAAACAUAUUUAUAAAUAAAUAUGCUUUAACAUUUAAGUAUGGCCAAUAUGUUGUCAAGUACAGUGGGCAGGGCUGAAUCCAUGAUCCCUCAGUGUCUAGUCUGGCCCCUUUAUGGAGUAGCUAGUUAGGCUUUAGCAGAUUUAUAUUCUAAUUUGGUAAAACUCGUUUUUCUGAUUUAAGAAAAUAUACUAAUCAUCAAAACAGUGUCUGCAAGUACUGUACAGGCCUACUGUUUGGAUGAGAAGUAUAUAUUUGAUUAUUUUUAAGCUUUGUGGUUUCAGGGUUUAAAAAAUGUCUAACUGAAAGUCUAUGUUUACUGUAUUUAUUAUUAUUAUAAUAAAUAAACUUAAAAAAUC